UGUCGCUGUUACUGUUGCUAUUUCAGUUUGUUUUGUUUGUCUUUGCUCGCAGGCAGCUGUUAGUUGCUGUUGUUACCAACAGACAACAAACACCAGCCCAAAGCCGUUCGCCACAGCCAUGGUUGGAGUUGGUACGAUGAGCAGACGAAGGCGAAGGCGAAGAAGAAAAAGAAGAAGCAGCAACACAAAAAAAAAUAGUAACACAAACGUAAAGUUAAUCAUAAAAAUGAAAUAAAAUUAAAAUAAAAUAAAGUCAGUAACAAUUGAA